GUGGGGAAUCUUGCGCAAUGGGCGAAAGCCUGACGCAGCCAUGCCGCGUGAAUGAUGAAGGUCUUAGGAUUGUAAAAUUCUUUCACCGGGGACGAUAAUGACGGUACCCGGAGAAGAAGCCCCGGCUAACUUCGUGCCAGCAGCCGCGGUAAUACGAAGGGGGCUAGCGUUGCUCGGAAUUACUGGGCGUAAAGGGCGCGUAGGCGGACAGUUUAGUCAGAGGUGAAAGCCCAGGGCUCCACCUUGGAAUUGCCUUUGAUACUGGCUGUCUUGAGUACGGGAGAGGUGAGUGGAACUCCGAGUGUAGAGGUGAAAUUCGUAGAUAUUCGGAAGAACACCAGUGGCGAAGGCGACUCACUGGCCCGUUACUGACGCUGAGGCGCGAAAGCGUGGGGAGCAAACAGGAUUAGAAACCCUGGUAGUCC
rnacentral:rRNA from 1 species